rnacentral:rRNA from 1 species
UACGUAGGGACCGAGCGUUGUCCGGAAUCAUUGGGCGUAAAGAGCGUGUAGGCGGCUUGCUAAGUCUUGCGUGAAAUCUCGGGGCUCAACCCCCGAGCGGUCGUGGGAAACUGGCAGGCUAGAGUGCGGGAGAGGAGAAUGGAAUUCCUGGUGUAGCGGUGAAAUGCGCAGAUAUCAGGAGGAACACCUACGGCGAAGGCAGCUCGCUGGGACGGUACUGACGCUGAGACGCGAAAGCGUGGGGAGCAAACAGG